rnacentral:rRNA from 1 species
CCUACGGGGGGCUGCAGUGGGGAAUAUUGGACAAUGGGCGCAAGCCUGAUCCAGCAAUGCCGCGUGUGUGAAGAAGGCCUGCGGGUUGUAAAGCACUUUCAGUGGGGAAGAACGGGUCCGGGCCAAUACCCCGGAUCACUGACGUUACCCACAGAAGAAGCACCGGCUAACUCCGUGCCAGCAGCCGCGGUAAUACGGAGGGUGCAAGCGUUAAUCGGAAUCACUGGGCGUAAAGCGCACGUAGGCGGCCCGUUAAGUCAGAUGUGAAACCCCUGGGCUCAACCUGGGAAUGGCAUUUGAUACUAGCGCGCUCGAGUCUGAUAGAGGGGGGUGGAAUUCCAGGUGUAGCGGUGAAAUGCGUAGAUAUCUGGAGGAACACCGGUGGCGAAGGCGGCCCCCUGGAUCAUGACUGACGCUGAGGUGCGAAAGCGUGGGUAGCAAACAGGAUUAGAUACCCCGGUAGUC